UACGUAGGGUGCGAGCGUUAAUCGGAAUUACUGGGCGUACAGCGUGCGCAGGCGGUUUUGUAAGCCAGAUGUGAAAGCCCCGGGCUUAACCUGGGAAUGGCAUUUGGGACUGCAAGGCUUGAGUGCGGCAGAGGAGACUGGAAUUCCUGGUGUAGCAGUGAAAUGCGUAGAUAUCAGGAGGAAUACCGAUGGCGAAGGCAGGUCUCUGGGCUGACACUGACGCUCAUGCACGAAAGCGGGGGGAGCAAACAGG
rnacentral:rRNA from 1 species